UCUUUCCUGUGUUUCUUUUUUUGUAUCUACAUAAUAGAGUCAUUACUUGAAAAAAUACAGUGUACAGUAACACAUAGAAAAACCUAAGUGUAGCUGUCUGCCAUUUUCAAAAGCUUUCUAAUCCAACUAUUACUUCUUAACCAAUAGUGAGCAGCUAGUACUUAAGACAUCUGUAAUCACUACCUUGGUAGGUGUCUAUUACAUUUCUAAAUGCUACUUGUUAAAGAUUACUGUUCUUUAUAUUGUCAAUUGUAGUGAUUCUGAAUGAAUGUUUACUGAGUAGUGUGUUUCAGCUGGCUCAGAAUAUAGUAGAACCAUCAGUUUCAAGAUUGUUAGCUAUUAAUGCAACUAUAUGUUGCAUUCACUAUUUCUACACUGAUGUCUAUACUUACCGUCCAUUUUAAUGCUAAUUUAUUUAAAAAGCUGACACAUGUACCCAACUGGGUUAGUCAAUUUUUUGUCACUGUAACAGUCAGCUAAGUUGCAGCUUAGAAAAGGCUUUGUUUUGACUCCCGUUUUGAUGGUCCAGUGCAUUGUUGGCUGGCGCUGUAGUAUUUGGUACUGUCCUGGGACAGGCACAAAAUGAUGGAGUGUAUG